rnacentral:rRNA from 1 species
AGCUCCAGUAGCGUAUAUUAAAGUUGUUGCAGUUAAAAAGCUCGUAGUUGGAUUUCUGGUUAGCGCGUCUAGCCCGCUUCUUUUAUGUUGUGUGUGCUGGUAUGCGCUUGCCAUCCUGCCAGAAUACCGUUUCUGUCCUUAACUGGUCUGGAUUCGGGGUCUGGCUCUUUUACUUUGAAAAAAUUAGAGUGUUUAAAGCAGGCUUCGCUAUGAAUACAUUAGCAUGGAAUAAUGAUCUAGGACUUUGGUUCUAUUUUGUUGGUUUCUAGUACUGAAGUAAUGAUUGAUAGGGAUAGUUGGGGGUGCUAGUAUUGGCCGGCCAGAGGUGAAAUUCUUGGAUUCGGUCAAGACUAACUUAUGCGAAAGCAUUCACCAAGGAUGUCUUCUUUA